rnacentral:rRNA from 1 species
AUACGGAGGGUGCAAGCGUUAAUCGGAAUUACUGGGCGUAAAGCGUACGUAGGCGGUUAAGUCAGUCAGAUGUGAAAGCCCUGGGCUCAACCUGGGAACUGCAUUUAAUACUGCUUGGCUAGAAUAUGGUAGAGGGAAGUGGAAUUCCGGGUGUAGCGGUGAAAUGCGUAGAUAUCCGGAGGAACACCUGUGGCGAAGGCGGCUUCCUGGACCAAUAUUGACGCUGAGGUACGAAAGCGUGGGUAGCAAACAGGAUUAGAUACCCGAGUAGUCC